rnacentral:tRNA from 1 species
GCCCAUAACUCAGUGGAAGAGCACUUGCCAAGGGAGCCUGAGGCCCUGGGUUUGACCCCCAGCAUGGCA